CGUCACUAACUUGGCCUGUGGGAGCGACACGUCAUGCUAGAAGUUGUUCUUUUCUAAUAUAUAUAGAUAUAGAUUUGAAAGUAAGGAUUUAAUUAUAAUUAUUUUUGUGUGUAUUAUUUAAUUUUAAUUUUAAUAAUUUAUAUUCUUUGAUUAUCUCUUUCUUUUAUGAAGAGAUAACCUGCUCUAAUAGGUCACCUUUGUUAUUUACCUAUGAUUGCCUAUCAAGCAUUACAAAGGAAUAUUCUUUAUUCUUUUUCUCUUCUCAACCACACAUUCAAAUUUCUGAUCACUUUCUCUCUCAAGCGGGCCUUACUUCCCCAAUCAUAAUUCUAUAUACUCUCUCCCCCAUUCACUCUCUCACUCAUGCUCUCCCUCACUCACUUGACAUCUCUCUUUCUCUCUUCCUCUCCAAAACCCAUUUUCUUCUUUUAAUGGUAGAGCAACAAGAAUCAUCACCAUACUUCUUCUCCCCUCCAUGGCUGAGCAAAACGCCGCCAACAACCACCGCGUCCUCCUCACGCACAUCCACCAUCACCUCCUCUGUUUCCAGGAAGCUUGAACAGAACCACCAAGUGCCAAAACCGCCACCACCACGCGUUUUCUUCUCUGCUCCGGCGAAGCCCAGACGCGAGCACCACCUUCCCUCACGCCCAGCACCAUGAACGACCCACCACGGCCACCAUGGAUGCGAAAACCAGAGAGAAAACGAAACCCUAAAACCGCCACCUUCAAGCUCCGAUCUCCGGCGAACCACUAAUCUUUUGGAGAAAUCAACACCACCAUUGGACUCCUCUCAUCAUCCGCAACAAAACCCCCAAAUCAAUUUGAUGUUCCGACAACCUUCGCCGGGAACCGCCGCCGGCCACCGUGAACCACCGUCUUCUCCGGCCAACCUUCGCCGGAAAUGUCACUGAACUUAAAACCAGGAAGCUCUCCUUCUCCUCUUGCUGAAUUGAUUAUCAAUUUUGGUUUUGUGCUAUUGUUGUCAGCCUUGAUGAUCACACUUGGAGAGGGCAGCCAUGACCAGCAAAGGAGAAUCCUCCUACUGCCUUCAACUUUGAUAGGGUUGACAUUCUUAACUGCAUCGAAUGAUUACUAGAGUCUUUAUGCUUCUCUAAGUCUUAAAUCAUUGUCAAUUUUGCUGCCCAAGUGCCUUGUAAAAAUUAAUGAAGAAAUAUAGAAUAGUGUAUGUGUGUGGUGUGAGUGAUAGUGUUAUGAUUGUUGAUUUCUAAGGGCAUGAGGGUUCAGCCCUUACUAUGCUUGAAAAUCUUUUGCGAAAACUCACAUAAAACUGUUGUUGUUUUCAAUGUAGUAGUCGUUGUUCUGUCAAAUUCGUGUGUUUUGGUUCAUAUUUUGGAACUGUGUUCUUCAUAACAAUUGUAGCGUUUUCUGUUAGCAAACUUUUGCCGCUGGUUUCAUGUCAUUCGGAUUUCUCUAGCUUAGGUUAUACGCAUUUUAGUGAGCACGGGUUAAGCUGUCCCGUUUCUCACGAACUGCUAUAGUAUUCGAUUUUUCCUAAAUUUUGUACUUUGAGUUUUGACUUGAAAAUUUAUGAGGAUUUACAAAACUUGUAAAAGAAGCCAUGAUAAAAAUAUUAGAUUUUUCGGAGUUUAGUUGACGUAUUUAAAAAUUA